rnacentral:rRNA from 1 species
AAGGGGGCUAGCGUUGCUCGGAAUCCCUGGGGCGUAAAAGGGUGCGUAAGGCGGGUCUUUUAAGUCAGGGGUGGAAUCCUGGAUGGUCAACUUCCAGAACUGCCUUUGAUACUGAGGAUCUUGAGUUCGGGAGAGGUGAGGGGAACUGCGAGUGUAGAGGUGAAAUUCGUAGAUAUUCGCAAGAACACCAGUGGCGAAGGCGGCUCACUGGCCCCGAUACUGACGCUGAGGCACGAAAGCGUGGGGAGCAAACAGGAAUUAGAUACCCUGGUAGUCCACGCCGUAAACGAUGAAUGCCAGCCGUUAGUGGGUUUACUCACUAGUGGCGCAGCUAACGCUUUAAGCAUUCCGCCUGGGGAGUACGGUCGCAAGAUUAAAACUCAAAGGAAUUGACCGGGGGCCCGCACAAGCGGUGGAGCAUGUGGUUUAAUUCGACCGCAACGCGCAGAACCUUACCAGCCCUUGACAUGUCCAGGACCGGUCGCAGAGAUGUGACCUUCUCUUCGGAGCCUGGAGCACAGGUGCUGCAUGGCUGUCGUCAGCUCGUGUCGUGAGAUGUUGGGUUAAGUCCCGCAACGAGCGCAACCCCCGUCCUUAGUUGCUACCAUUUAGUUGAGCACUCUAAGGAGACUGCCGGUGAUAAGCCGCGAGGAAGGUGGGGAUGACGUCAAGUCCUCAUGGCCCUUACGGGCUGGGCUACACACGUGCUACAAUGGCGGUGACAAUGGGAUGCUAAGGGGCGACCCUUCGCAAAUCUCAAAAAGCCGUCUCAGUUCGGAUUGGGCUCUGCAACUCGAGCCCAUGAAGUUGGAAUCGCUAGUAAUCGUGGAUCAGCACGCCACGGUGAAUACGUUCCCGGGCCUUGUACACACCGCCCGUCACACCAUGGGAGUUGGUUUUACCUGAAGACGGUGCGCUUUCCCGCAAUUGAGGCAGCCGGCCGGUACACGUACCU